AUGGCCGGAACUGGAAGAGAGGGUUCUCGAGGAGGAGGGAGAUAUGCAGCAGGGAGGGGAAGAAAUGAGACAGGGCGUGGUGGGACUGCUAACCCCAAAUCAUCAGGAGGAGGGGAGACGCAGCACCAGACUACUCAACCUCCUGCGACCCAGAUGCCUCCCAUCUCUAUAUACUCCAGGCCACCGAUUGUUCCUCUGCGUCAACCGAAUUAUAUGUUCUCACAGGGCCAGAUGUAUGCAGGAUUUCCCCCAGGAGGAUAUGCUCAAUUCCAGGGUGUAAGUCAGUGGCCUAUGCCACAACAACAAUUCCCUUAUCAGUUUCCUUUGCAGCCAGGCAUGAUGCCAUACCAACAGAAACUACCUUUCAACUCUGGGAGCUCGUCUGGUGGCAAUGGCCCAGCUUUACCCUCUGGAUCCAGCAAAAACAAGAAGAAAAAUCCCAAAGGGGGGCUGUGGACAACAAUGCUGAUCAGACACAGAGCAAACAGUGAUGUGGAGGGGAGUGCACCUUACGAUGUUGAUCCGAAGUUCAUUGGAGCCAUAUGCUAUAACUGUGGACUGCCUGGACACUUUGUUGGGAUGUGCUUUCUGCCCAGGAAUUGUUUCAUCUAUAAAACUCCUGGCCAUCAUAUGGAUGUAUGCCCCACCUGGUAUAAGCCAUACCUUGUUGCACACUAUUGGGGGAGUGCUAACACAGGCCUGGGGUUCUUCCAUGUUGAAGCUGGAGAUGUUAGUGAUAGCAAUUGGCUUAACUUUGGAAAUGUAGGCUUAGUGGUUGUGAAGGAAGGGAAUAUCACAGGAGAUGAGCUUGGGCAAUGUUUCACUCAGAUGUGGAAAACCAACUGGCCAUGGCAGAUAAGACCAUAUGAUAAAAACAAAUUCCUGAUGAGGUUCCCCCCAAAUAAAAGAAUUGCUGAGCUUGCUGAGUACCCAUCCAUGAAUCUGAAAAGGAAGAAAGCAACUAUAUCUUUCAUGAAAUGGGGAGGACAAAUGCCAGAAUAUGACUCCUUGACAGAAACUUGGAUAGAAGGAUUGCCCCCAAAGUGGAUAAGCUGGAGUGUUAUAGCUCAAGUGGCAUCCAUUUUAGGGGUUCUGGUUAAUAUUGAUUGGCACAUGAUAUUCAGAAGCUUUUAUGAGAAAGUGAGAAUUCAAGUUGCAGUCAGAGACCCCAGCAAAAUACCUACUGAUAGAGUGGUGGAAAUUCAGCAUGAGCUGUAUCUGUUGAGGUUUGCAGUGGAAAAAGAUGCUGAAGAAAGCUCCAACUCUGACAACCCAUCUGACCCUGCUAGCAAUAAGAUUGAGGGCACCAAUGUCAACAGUGAUGAUGAUCUACUGGGAGAAGAAAUGGAAACUGAGAUGGAAAAGUCUGGGAAAAAUAUUAAUACCCCAAGGCCAUCUGCUGCUCCUAAAGGGUCCAAAUCAAAUAGCUACAAAACUCCUGGGGCUACUUUUGAGAUUAUUACAGGCUCAAAAAAUCAGAGAGCUCCACUGACCAAAAGCUAUUUGGAAGUGGUCCAAAAGAAAACUAGAGAUGAUUUUGGAGAAAAGUUUCUACCUAGCUUUGAAGCUGCUGUAAAUCAAAGUCAUGACAAAGUUGUUGGUCUAAAAAACAACAAAACUGCUGUGAAGUGGGGGCCUAUAGAAGCCACCAGAAUGAGUGACAGGAUCAAAAGAGAUGGGAAACCUGCUCUGACCAAGGCCCAAGAAUUGAAGCAGAAGAGAGACUUGGAGAUUCCUAAAGGUGAGCUGAAUGAUAUCUGGACCAGGGAGGAGAUCAAAGCCAGGCAGAGGUCCAGAGAGAGGGACAUCCUGGAGGGAGAACAUAAUACUGGAUACUUCAAGGCCAUUGCUAACCAGAAAAGGAGAAAGAAACAAGUACUGAUGCUGGAAGGAGAAAAUGGUCCUUUAAAUGAUCUUAAAGGUGAUCGUGAGGAAGACUACAAAAAACCUAUCCUUAUGGGAGGUGGUCUGGCUAGAUGUUGCCAAGCCAGAGCUAAAAGAGAUCGUGCGGAAGCUGGAGCAGAUGGCAAGAAAUCCCCCACCCCUCCUGUGGCCAGAUCCAGGUUGAUUGGGGGAAGAUAUGGGGGAGAACUCUCUGGAAGCGAUCUGGUCAUGCUUUGA
rnacentral:rRNA from 1 species